rnacentral:rRNA from 1 species
GACGAACGCUGGCGGCGUGCUUAACACAUGCAAGUCGAACGGAAAGGCCCUGCUUUUGUGGGGUGCUCGAGUGGCGAACGGGUGAGUAACACGUGAGUAACCUGCCCUUGACUUUGGGAUAACUUCAGGAAACUGGGGCUAAUACCGGAAAGGAGCUCCUGCUGCAUGGUGGGGGUUGGAAAGUUUCGGCGGUUGGGGAGGGACUCGCGGCUUAUCAGCUUGUUGGUGGGGUAGUGGCUUACCAAGGCUUUGACGGGUAGCCGGCCUGCGAGGGUGACCGGCCACAUUGGGACUGAGAUACGGCCCAGACUCCUACGGGAGGCAGCAGUGGGGAAUAUUGCACAAUGGGCGGAAGCCUGAUGCAGCAACGCCGCGUGCGGGAUGACGGCCUUCGGGUUGUAAACCGCUUUCGCCUGUGACGAAGCGUGAGUGACGGUAAUGGGUAAAGAAGCACCGGCUAACUACGUG